CACAAGUUGGACCCUAGUUCAAGUGGUCGAGGUGUUCGCCAAUUCAAAACUGCACUUCUCCAACGCCUGGAAAGAAUACCAGCCUCCUCUUCCACCUGAUCAAGUAAAAUAUUUAAAUGAAUACGAUGAGGAAGGAGAAGGAAUACUCAGGAUCUGCUAGAACUGGCGAUGGAUCUAUUAGACGAGAUCAAGUUGGUCAAGCAGGUCAAAAUACUCAGGU